GCUUAAAGGGGCCGUAGCUCGAUAAUAGGGUCCCUUGAGAAAUCCGCCGGCUUAACUGGCGGGCGUUCAGGGGAAACUUGUUUUCUAGGGACCGGGAGAGGUGAGGGGUACUGCCGGGGUAGGAGUGAAAUCCUGUAAUCCCGGUGGGACCACCUAUGGCGAAGGCAUCUCACCAGAACGGGUCCGACAGUGAGGGACGAAAGCUGGGGGAGCAAACCGGAUUAGAUACCCGGGUAGUCCCAGCUGUAAACUAUGUGCGUUAGGUGUGUCAGUGACCACGUGUCACUGAGGUGCCGAAGGGAAACCGUGAAACGCACCGCCUGGGGAGUACGGUCGCAAGGCUGAAACUUAAAGGAAUUGGCGGGGGAGCACCACAACGGGUGGAGCCUGCGGUUUAAUCGGACUCAACGCCGGGAAUCUCACCGGAUAAGACAGCUGAAUGAUAGUCGGGAUGAAGACUCUACUUGACUAGCUGAGAGGAGGUGCAUGGCCGUCGUCAGUUCGUACUGUGAAGCAUCCUGUUUAGUCAGGCAACGAGCGAGACCCACGCGAGCAGUUGCCAGCUUGACCUUCGGGUUGAUGGGGACACUGCUCGGACCGCCUCUGCUAAAGGGGAGGAAGGACUGGGCAACGGUAGGUCAGCAUGCCCCGAAUUAUCCGGGCUACACGCGGGCUACAAUGGACAGGACAAUGAGUUUCGACACCGAGAGGUGAGGAUAAUCUUCUAACCCUGUCCCAAGUUCGGAUUGCGGGUUGUAACUCACCCGCAUGAAGCUGGAAUCCGUAGUAAUCGCGUUUCAACAUACCGCGGUGAAUAUGUCCCUGCUCCUUGCACACACCGCC
rnacentral:rRNA from 1 species